CACGUAUUUAGCCGUCGCUUCUUCUGCAAGUACCGUCACUUUCUUCUUCCCUGCUGAAAGCACUUUACAAUCCGAAAACCUUCUUCGUGCACACAGAAUUGCUGGAUCAGGGUUGCCCCCAUUGUCCAAUAUUCCCCACUGCUGCCUCCCGUAGGAGUAAGGGCCGUAUCUCAGUCCCCUUGUGGCCGUUCACCCUCUCAGGCCGGCUACCUAUCAUCGCCUUGGUGAGCCGUUACCUCACCAACAAGCUAAUAGGACGCAAAGCUCUCCUGCAGCAUUACUUUUCAUUGCCGGGCACAUGCGUGCUGGCAAUUGUAUCAGGUAUUAUCAGUCGUUUCCGUCUGUUAUCCCUGUCUGCAGGGCAAGUUCUUUACGCGUUACUCACCCGUCCGCCUUGGCUUGGCUGUGCAAGCACAGAUUCGCCAAAGACUUGCAUGUGUUAAGCAUUCUGUCAGCGUUCAUCCUGAGCCAGGAUCAAAC
rnacentral:rRNA from 1 species